rnacentral:rRNA from 1 species
UACGAAGGGGGCUAGCGUUGUUCGGAAUUACUGGGCGUAAAGCGCACGUAGGCGGAUUGUUAAGUCAGAGGUGAAAUCCCGGAGCUCAACUUCGGAACUGCCUUUGAUACUGGCAAUCUAGAGUCCGGAAGAGGUUAGUGGAAUUCCCAGUGUAGAGGUGAAAUGCGCAGAUAUCGGGAGGGAACGACCGGUGGCGAAGGCGGUUCUCUGGGCCUGACCUGGACGCUGAGGAGCGAAAGCGUGGGGAGCGAACAGGA